UGCAGUCGAGCGGACUGAUUAAGAGCUUGCUCUUAUGACGUUAGCGGCGGACGGGUGAGUAACACGUGGGCAACCUGCCCUGUAGAUCGGGAUAACACCGAGAAAUCGGUGCUAAUACCGGGUAAUAUCUAAGAUCGCAUGAUCUUGGAGUAAAAGAUGGCUCCGGCUAUCACUACAGGAUGGGCCCGCGGCGCAUUAGCUAGUUGGUAAGGUAACGGCUUACCAAGGCGACGAUGCGUAGCCGACCUGAGAGGGUGAUCGGCCACACUGGGACUGAGACACGGCCCAGACUCCUACGGGAGGCAGCAGUAGGGAAUCUUCCGCAAUGGACGAAAGUCUGACGGAGCAACGCCGCGUGAGUGAUGAAGGGUUUCGGCUCGUAAAGCUCUGUUGUUAGGGAAGAACAAGUAUCGUUCGAAUAGGGCGGUACCUUGACGGUACCUAACCAGAAAGCCACGGCUAACUACGUGCCAGCAGCCGCGGUAAUACGUAGGUGGCAAGCGUUGUCCGGAAUUAUUGGGCGUAAAGCGCGCGCAGGCGGUCUUUUAAGUCUGAUGUGAAAGCCCCCGGCUCAACCGGGGAGGGUCAUUGGAAACUGGGAGACUUGAGUACAGAAGAGGAGAGUGGAAUUCCACGUGUAGCGGUGAAAUGCGUAGAUAUGUGGAGGAACACCAGUGGCGAAGGCGACUCUCUGGUCUGUAACUGACGCUGAGGCGCGAAAGCGUGGGGAGCAAACAGGAUUAGAUACCCUGGUAGUCCACGCCGUAAACGAUGAGUGCUAGGUGUUAGGGGUUUCGAUGCCCUUAGUGCCGAAGUUAACACAUUAAGCACUCCGCCUGGGGGAGUACGACNCGCAAGGUUGAAACUCAAAAGGAAUUGACGGGGGGCCCGCACAAAGCAGUG
rnacentral:rRNA from 1 species